rnacentral:rRNA from 1 species
GAGUUUGAUCGUGGCUCAGAUUGAACGCUGGCGGCAUGCCUUACACAUGCAAGUCGAACGGCAGCAUGAUCUAGCUUGCUAGAUUGAUGGCGAGUGGCGAACGGGUGAGUAAUACAUCGGAACGUGCCCUGUAGGUGGGGGAUAACUAGUCGAAAGAUUAGCUAAUACCGCAUACGACCUGAGGGUGAAAGUGGGGGACCGCAAGGCCUCAUGCUAUAGGAGCGGCCGAUGUCUGAUUAGCUAGUUGGUGGGGUAAAGGCCCACCAAGGCGACGAUCAGUAGCUGGUCUGAGAGGACGAUCAGCCACACUGGGACUGAGACACGGCCCAGACUCCUACGGGAGGCAGCAGGUGGGGAAUUUUGGACAAUGGGCGAAAGCCUGAUCCAGCAAUGCCGCGUGUGUGAAG